rnacentral:rRNA from 1 species
AACGAACGCUGGCGGCGUGCUUAACGCAUGCAAGUCGAACGCGAAAGGGGACUUCGGUCCUGAGUAAAGUGGCGCACGGGUGAGUAACGCGUAGAUAACCUGUCUUCAUGUCUGGAAUAAUACGCCAAAGGGGUACUAAUACCGGAUAUUCUUGCUUUUCAUAAGUUAUGCAAGCAAAGGUGGCCUCUGCAUAUGCUACUGCAUGAAGAGGGGUCUGCGUGCCAUUAGCUAGUAGGUGGGGUAAUGGCCUACCUAGGCGACGAUGGUUAGCGGGUCUGAGAGGAUGAUCCGCCACACUGGCACUGGAACACGGGCCAGACUCCUACGGGAGGCAGCAGUGAGGAAUAUUGCGCAAUGGGGGAAACCCUGACGCAGCGACGCCGCGUGAAGUGAGGAAGGCCUUCGGGUCGUAAAGCUCUGUCAAGAGGAAAGAAGUGUACAAUGGCUAAUACCUGUUGUAUUUGACGGUACCUCUAAAGGAAGCACCGGCUAACUCCGUGCCAGCCGCCGC